rnacentral:rRNA from 1 species
GACGAACGCUGGCGGCGUGCUUAACACAUGCAAGUCGAACGGUGAAGCGCCUUCCUUUUUGGUGGGUGUGGAUGAGUGGCGAACGGGUGAGUAACACGUGAGUAACCUUCCCCCUUCUUCUGGAUAACCGCAUGAAAGUGUGUCUAAUACGGGAUAUUCUGGUUCUGUCGCAUGAUGGGUCUGUGAAAGCUAUUGUUUCGGUAGGGGAUGGGCUCGCGGCCUAUCAGCUUGUUGGUGGGUUGAUGGCCUAGCACGGCGGUGACGUGUGGCAGGCCUGGGAGGGUGGCCGGCCUGAGAGGGAGUGCGACACGACUGAGACUGAUAUGCGGGGCAGCAGUGGGGAGGAUUGAGCAGUGGGGGAAAGUGUGAUGCAGCGGGGCGGCGUGAGCGAUGGCGGCGUUCGGGUUGUGAACGUCUUUGGGUAGUGAAGCGGGCCUGCCUGGGAUGUGGGGGGAUUGACGGUAGCUGGAUAAGAAGCGCCGGCUAACUACGUG